rnacentral:rRNA from 1 species
UACGAAGGGGGCUAGCGUUGCUCGGAAUCACUGGGCGUAAAGGGUGCGUAGGCGGGUCUUUAAGUCAGGGGUGAAAUCCCGGAGCUCAACUCCGGAACUGCCUUUGAUACUGGAGAUCUUGAGUCCGGGAGAGGUGAGUGGAACUGCGAGUGUAGAGGUGAAAUUCGUAGAUAUUCGCAAGAACACCAGUGGCGAAGGCGGCUCACUGGCCCGGUACUGACGCUGAGGUGCGAAAGCGUGGGGAGCAAACAGG